rnacentral:rRNA from 1 species
AGAAUCAACGCUGGCGGCGUGCCUAACACAUGCAAGUCGAACGAGAAAGUGGAGCAAUCCAUGAGUAAAGUGGCGCACGGGUGAGUAACACGUGGCUAACCUACCCUUGAGUGGGGGAUAACCUAGAGAAAUCUGGGCUAAUACCGCAUAAUACCUUCGGGGUCAAAAGGAGCAAUUCGCUUAAGGAGGGGGUCGCGGCCGAUUAGUUAGUUGGCGGGGUAAUGGCCCACCAAGACUAUGAUCGGUA